rnacentral:rRNA from 1 species
UACGUAGGGGGCAAGCGUUGUCCGGAUUUAUUGGGCGUAAAGAGCGUGUAGGCGGCCAGGUAGGUCCGUUGUGAAAACUCGAGGCUCAACCUCGAGACGCCGAUGGAAACCCCCUGGCUAGAGUCCGGAAGAGGAGAGUGGAAUUCCUGGUGUAGCGGUGAAAUGCGCAGAUAUCAGGAAGAACACCCGUGGCGAAGGCGGUUCUCUGGGACGGUACUGACGCUGAGACGCGAAAGCGUGGGGAGCGAACAGG